GCCAGAGUGGCUCAGUGGUUGAGCGUUGACCUGUGAACCAGGAUGUCCUGGGUUCGAUUCCCAGUUGGGGCA
rnacentral:tRNA from 1 species